UGUCAAGCGUUUUUAACGUCGUUUCGGCGAACGGACUUCUUUUGCCUUUGAAAAGGUGAAGAGAGAUG
rfam:Ensifer adhaerens OV14 chromosome 2 sequence.